GACGAACGCUGGCGGCGUGCUUAACACAUGCAAGUCGAACGGAAAGGCCCUGCUUUUGUGGGGUGCUCGAGUGGCGAACGGGUGAGUAACACGUGAGUAACCUGCCCUUGACUUUGGGAUAACUUCAGGAAACUGGGGCUAAUACCGGAUAGGAGCUCCUGCUGCAUGGUGGGGGUUGGAAAGUUUCGGCGGUUGGGGAUGGACUCGCGGCUUAUCAGCUUGUUGGUGGGGUAGUGGCUUACCAAGGCUUUGACGGGUAGCCGGCCUGAGAGGGUGACCGGCCACAUUGGGACUGAGAUACGGCCCAGACUCCUACGGGAGGCAGCAGUGGGGAAUAUUGCACAAUGGGCGGAAGCCUGAUGCAGCAACGCCGCGUGCGGGAUGACGGCCUUCGGGUUGUAAACCGCUUUCGCCUGUGACGAAGCGUGAGUGACGGUAAUGGGGAAAGAAGCACCGGCUGACUACGG
rnacentral:rRNA from 1 species